rnacentral:rRNA from 1 species
CCUACGGGAGGCUGCAGUGAGGAAUAUUUGUCAAUGGACGAGAGUCUGAACCAGCCAAGUAGCGUGAAGGAUGACUGCCCUAUGGGUUGUAAACUUCUUUUAUAUAGGAAUAAAAUGUUCCACGUGUGGGAUUAUGUAUGUACCAUAUGAAUACGGAUCGGCUAACUUCGUGCCAGCAGCAGUGGUAAUACGGAGGAUCCGAGCGUUAGCCGGAUUUAUUGGGUUUAACGGGAGCGUAGGUGGAUUGUUAAGUCAGUUGUGAAAGUUUGCGGCUCAACCGUAAAAGUGCAGUUGAAACUGGCAGUCUUGAGUACAGUAGAGGUGUGCGGAAUGCGUGGUGUCGCGGUGAAAUGCUUAGAUAUCUCGAAGAACUCCGAUUGCGAAGGCAGUUCACUGGACUGCAACUGACACUGAGGCUCGAAAGUGUGGGUAUCAAACAGGAUUAGAUACCCUUGUAGUC